CUUUUGAGAUCAUAAUGUCUUUGAAUGUAAUGUCUUCCAGGGCCGCUCUGAUCACAAAAGCCGCAGGUGGGUAAAGACGCAAUGUCUCUUGGAUCACCAUUGUCAACUGCCAUCAAAUACAAGGAGCAAUAAUCUUCCUUUGAUGGGCCCAAAUUGAGCCAUCUGAUGACAGAAUGCCUUGGCCCAAAAGUGGCCCACGAUCUUUGGAUAGAUAAGAAGGUUUUCCAAGGCUCAAAGAAGUGCAAAGGCUGAUUUCCUUCACCAUCUCUGGAUCUGUUAUGCAUAAUAGCUGUAUGUUUCCAGAUGAAUAUAAGAAUAUUGGUCCUGUCACCAAUAUAGAUUAGGUGAGCAAGGUUGAAAAAUAAAAUUUUAAGAUUCUGAUUUAGUGUUGAUAUGCAUAUUUGAUCAUAUGAUCUUUAAGAGGUCCUUU